GCGAAAGCUAACAGAAUCUGCGGUGCUCUG
rnacentral:piRNA from 1 species